GACGAACGCUGGCGGCGUGCUUAACACAUGCAAGUCGAACGGAAAGGCCCUGCUUUUGUGGGGUGCUCGAGUGGCGAACGGGUGAGUAACACGUGAGUAACCUGCCCUUGACUUUGGGAUAACUUCAGGAAACUGGGGCUAAUACCGGAUAGGAGCUCCUGCUGCAUGGUGGGGGUUGGAAAGUUUCGGCGGUGGGGGCUGGACUCGCGGCUUAUCAGCUUGUUGGUGGGGUAGUGGCUUACCAAGGCUUUGACGGGUAGCCGGCCUGAGAGGGUGACCGGCGAGAUUGGGACUGAGAUACGGCCCAGACUCCUACGGGAGGCAGCAGUGGGGAAUAUUGCACAAUGGGCGGAAGCCGGAGGCAGCAACGCCGCGUGCGGGAUGACGGCCUUCGGGUUGUAAACCGCUUUCGCCUGUGACGAAGCGUGAGUGACGGUAAUGGGUAAAGAAGCACCGGCUAACUACGUG
rnacentral:rRNA from 1 species